AGGACGACCAGCCACACCGGAACUGAGACACGGUCCGGACUCCUACGGGAGGCAGCAGUGGGGAAUAUUGGACAAUGGGGGAAACCCUGAUCCAGCGACGCCGCGUGUGUGAAGAAGGCCUGCGGGUUGUAAAGCACUUUUAGUGGGGACAAAAAGCUACGGAUUAAUACUUCGUGGUCUUGAUUUAACCCAAAGAAAAAGCACCGGCUAACUCUGUGCCAGCAGCCGCGGUAAUACAGAGGGUGCGAGCGUUAAUCGGAAUUACUGGGCGUAAAGCGCGCGUAGACGGUUUUGUAAGUCAGAUGUGAAAUCCCUGGGCUCAACCUGGGAACUGCAUUUGAGACUGCAUGGCUAGAGUAUCGAAGAGGGAAGUGGAAUUUCCGGUGUAGCGGUGAAAUGCGUAGAUAUCGGAAGGAACACCAGUGGCGAAAGCGACUUCCUGGUCGAAUACUGACGUUCAUGUGCGAAAGCGUGGGGAGCAAACAGGAUUAGAUACCCUGGUAGUCCACGCCAUAAACGAUGACAACUAGAUGUUGGGAGGGUCUGCCUCUCGGUGUCGCAGCUAACGCGUUAAGUUGUCCGCCUGGGGAGUACGGCCGC
rnacentral:rRNA from 1 species